rnacentral:rRNA from 1 species
UACGGAGGGUGCAAGCGUUGUCCGGAAUCACUGGGCGUAAAGGGCGCGUAGGCGGCUAGAUGUGUCAAAGGUGAAAUCCCUCGGCUCAACUGAGGAACUGCCUUUGAAACUGUCUGGCUUGAGGCCGGGAGAGGGUAGCGGAAUUCCCAGUGUAGCGGUGAAAUGCGUAGAUAUUGGGAGGAACACCUGUGGCGAAAGCGGCGCACUGGACCACAACUGACGCUGAGGCGCGAAAGCUAGGGGAGCAAACAGG